CUUAGUUGUUUCUAACACCCAAACAAAAGAAACCCUAGCCGCCCCAAAUUCCCCCAUCUCCUCUACCGCCCUCCGCCGUCGGAAAUCGCUACACGGUGGCGAAACUUCUCCAGAUGGCCCCAAAUUCUCACCAGUUAACCCCCGUCAUCUCCCAUUUCCAAAUCUCUAACCAGUUCAUUCGAAUCAUCACAAAACAUCUCGAAUUUUAAAUCUAAGAUCGAUGCCUAAAAACCCUAAUCCUUCCAAAUCGACCCAAAGUUUCACCAUGACGCCCUGUACCCUCCUCUUCCUAAAUACCUCACUGAUUUUUCCAAAUAACCCUGCAAAACUCCGAAAUAGCAAAUCGAAGUAGGGGUCUCUGUUUUGUCCGAAUCCAAGCUCCUUAAUAUUUUCCUUCAAAAGUUAGACUUCCAAAAGUCUUCUAUUUCAAGGAGAUCCGGUCAAAUCCAUGCAAGACUGGAUACCCUAAAAGAGAAGACCUCUGUUGGUCAAUCGAGGCAGAGACGGAGCUCUGUAGCUCCUUUGUUUGCUUUCUGCUCCUCAAAUGGUAUUUCUUAGACUUUACAUGAUCUUUGAAGUGCAAGUCUGUCGUCCUAUUGGCAAUAUGUAACUGAAAUUGAAGAUCUAAUGAAAUUCUCCCCUUUUAAUUUUAUUUUCAUGUUUUCUCAAUACCUUUAUUAGUUUUAGUCUUUUGCAGUAUUCAUGUGGUUUGGAUGUGUUUGGAUGGCUAUUUGUCUAGUAGGAAAUGCUACAUGCUGAAGGUCUGCUAGCUUGGUUGUUAUAAAAUAUGUAAAAUUUCAAGUUAGUAUAGGUUUCUAAUAGUUUGUUUGUAAUAAAAAAUGCCGACUCACAUAUGUUUGAAACACUGUACCUAGCAUGUGUAUAUUUUUUAGAAUUGUAACUUUGAUAGAACAAGUGCAUAUGUAGUAGUAUAGUGAAUAUGUAGUUUCAUAGUUCAAUUUCAAGUUGUUAGCAUUAGUUGCAAUAUAAUAAUUUUAAGGUUUA